AUGAAAUGGGCCUCCUAGUAGACAUCGUCAAACAAGGUUCCGGAACCACAAACGAUGGAAACACAUCAAGGAUAUUUUUUAGUAAUCCUACCAGAACUGCAGAUAUUACAGUAUUGGAUGCUAAUUUGAUCCAAGCAACACUUGCGUGUGAUGGCCUGUGGGGAGAGCCCAUAAAAGUUGAGGCGUUAAAAAAAAUUGCGCGCCAAACAGCAGAAUUUUAUGUGGAGCUCUAUGGCUCACAUGCACAUGGUAUCACAUGCCUUUAAGUGUCCACAAACUUUUACUGCACCGGGCUGAAAUGAUUAAGCACUUCAAUAUCAUGCCUAUUGGCAAAUUAUCUAAAGAGGCAUCGAAAGCCAGAAACAAAGACUCCAACGUUAAUACGAGAACAGAAUCGCGCAAAUUUUGUCGAAAGCGACAAACGAAGACAUCAUCAAUGGUUUCCUUGUCUCGUCAGACGAAUGUGAAUACACCUAUUACUGACGAUAAGAAAGUGAAAUAAUGAUUGAGAUAAUAGGUUGUGAAUGUUAACUUUUAUAGGUUAAACUUUGGCGCAGUUUCGUGAAACAAACCAUAAUUUGUUUACUUUUGCAGGUCUGCAAGGGAAUCGUAUGGGGACGAUGCCAUUGGUUAUGUGCAACUGCGUCGCGAGUCAGAUUCAAUACAAUACAAUUCAUUUGCACAAUGAAAUGAGAAUACAAUUUAUUUGCACAAUGAAAUGUAAGAUACCUUGUGCACAGGACAAAUCUUACAUUUCUUGUCAAGGUGAGGAGCAGCUCUUACAACGUCACGAUCAUGGUAUGGCAACUAGGAAAAGAAAGUUUCCAUAAAGGAUGAUGGGCACCAAUGUAUGGAAAGUGGUACCCGCUCCAAUAGCCAUAACCAAUAUAUAUUGAUAUAUUGAAGUGAGCCAAAUUUCAUUUUUUUUAAAACCUAAUUUAAGUUUCCGUUUUAUUGCUGAGGCUAAUUAUAGCCUAAAAAUUAGAAACCUUAUUAAAUUACCUGACUGAUAAGACCAUAACGACAUUUUUAGCUUCAUUUUCCAGCUAAUUAGAGCAUUUAGAAAAAAGGCCGGUUCACUGUUCAACGAUGCACCCUAAUCGUACAAAUCUUACAUUUAUAAAAAAAUAUGAAAGCUGGUUACAGUCUGACAUUUCUUGGCCUAAUAGUAUUCAGAACAAACUAACUUCAGAUUCCACAAACAUGGAUACUGACAAUAGACCUCUACAUCUCGUUUUGAUGAUGUUCCGGUUUCAGUUCAAGCUACAAGUUCAAUGGGUACUUCUACUAUAAAACUUUCUCCUAGAAAACCGUUCAGUGAUUUGAGUCCCAUUCAAAAGAAGCGAAGAAAGAAAAAAAUUUAAAUUAUUUAAUAAUAUCAUCUGAUCCUUAUUUAUCGUCUAUAAGGCCAAAAUUGAGACAAACAAGUAAAAAAGUUUUAACAGAAGAUAUGAAACAUCUACUUUUUGGAAACUUUCGAUUUAAGUUUUUUCCAAAACAGUUCAAGAUACGACAAGGGACAACGGCUUCUAUUUCAGAUUUAUUGUUUCUGUGCCCUUUCAGGCAUUAGGGGAUAUUUUGAAUCACCCUGUAUUUGGACUGUCUUCCACAUGAGGAUGUUCGACCAUGGUUUCAAGACGAAGGCAUUAUCGCAAGUGACGUUUGUUACAAUUGUGGAUAUUACAAUUCAAAGACGUUUUUAAUCUCUGCGAUCGAGUACGCCGAUUUGUAUUGCCCUCAUUGUUAUCAAGAAAUGAUAACGAAUAACGUAGGGUAGACCGAAGGCAAAAGUAACAGGGGCCGUUGUAACAUCGACAAUAUCUACAGUAUCGUCCUGUGUAUUUGCGCGUGUGUGCGUGUACUAACACAUCUAGAGUCUAGACUCAUUCGACACAACCAGUGUUGCAAACGUUCCCGAUUUAUCGGGAGAUCUCCCGAUUUCGGCUCUUCCCUCCCGAUAUCCCGAUUUAACGACCUAAUCUCCCGAAUUUCCAUUUCCUUUAUUUUACUACUAAGGUGCCAAACAAUUCUAAGGCCGACAACACUAAAACUAACCUGGUAACACUUAAACUAUGCAGGGGAAUUCCCCAAUACUUCUCGCACGGCCUUUCACUACCGCAGUAUACACAAAAGAUAUUGCAUCGAAACGCAUUCACAAUAAGGUUCAAUAUUGUUUAGAGGAAAUUCCCUUAAAAUAACAAACUCUCCACCGAAUCUAUUAUAGGUCUCCUACACACUAAAAGAUUUGUAGUAGAAAAUGACCAAAUAUGUUAUA